UUCUUCUAGCAGCAUCCUUGAGAGAGAAGACUCUGAUUCUUUGGCUACUGUAUGGCCAAGGAAACCAAGGCUGAGGCCAACCAGGUCUGUCUGGGACGAGAGGCUGGAGGUCAAACAAUAUCUCCCUCCAAACAAGCUGACCAAUGGGUGUUCCCUCACGAUGAGGGGAAUUCAGACACACUGGCCUUCACUUCCAUGUCACUGAAACUCCCCUUGUCGGGGUCCCCUGUGAUCUCCAUGUUUCCAGAUGAAGCAGGCAUUCCCAGCUCACCUGGCUCUUGGUGCUCAGAGGCCUGGUCCACCGGGAGGUAGAUACAUAAGCAAUUUCCAGAGGCUGCACUUGUUGCUACUACAGUGAAGAGAUUCAAAUAAGCUAUAGAGAGGACACAGAAGAGAUGGAGAUCACUUUCCUUGGAAGGUCAAAGAAGGUCCCAAAGGCAAAGACCCCUGGGCUGGGUCUUGUCUGGUGGUUAGGAUGUCAUUAAUUGCAAGAGAACAUGCCUGAAGGGAGGAAUUCCAAGUAUGUCCAGUGCUAGUGGGGCAAGAGAAUCAGGACAAAAGAGGAUGAAGCAGCCUGAGCACUCCAGUAAACAUUUCGGAGCGCUGGGUGGAGGAGUGGAAGGCGCUUCUCAGGGCAGGGUCCAGGGCUGGGCAGGGGCUGCUCCCCAGACUCCUGGGUCAGACAAAAUAGGGCAGCCUCUGGAAGGCCCGCCUGGCGGCCCCCGGGACUGUGGCAGGCUACAGCACCCCGAGCUCCCUGCGAGGCCGCCGCUAAGCAGGUGCCGGGAGGUGUGGGGCCUGCACUCUGCAUCCCUUUGGGGCUGACCCCUUCUGAGCACAGGUUGACAGCUCCUCGGAACCUCGGGGAGCCCACUCAGAGGCGGCCCGGCUCUCGGGAAAGUGCAGGUGCACCUCUCUGAGGUUCCCAGUCCCCCCAAGAAGCUCCUAAAAUGUCUUGUGAUUCCAGCGAGCUCUCGGACCUUGGAUGACGCCCUCUGGGGAGCAGGACUCUGGCCAGAUAUGGCAGGUCCUCAGCGGGGGCUCAUAUCUAGCAACAGUGGAAAGAAGGUAACAGGCCCAAACGUCUAAAACAUGGCUUCGUUAACAUUACAGAAUUGAAUAACCUGAAGGAAUUAAAAAAAGGGGGGGGGGGAGUUCUACUGGAAAUAAUGCGAUUCUAACUUCUUUAAGGAGGGUAUUUUUUAACCUGUUUGUAAUUUAUUUCCUAAAAUGCUUCCUCAUCAUCCCCUGCAUGAACAUGACAUAAAAGCAAUUUCUGAGGCAAUAUUAGAAAUGUUAAAGUUAGGGUCUAACUUAAAAGGACUGUCAAAAGCCGAGGUAGAAAAUGAUGUUAUACACAUUGCAGUCGGCCAACUGUUUGUGUCUCUGUUGGACUGUGGUGCUUAAGGCAGUGUUAUCUCUGGUUUUGUCACAUUCACCUGCUUGAAUUGAACCCACACGGCUCUACUGUACAAACAGAACAACUGUCUUAGCAGACUUUACUUUUUCAUUUUUCUCCUGUAUGUUGCCUAACACUGUUUGAUAGCAGUGGCUCUAUUUCACUAGUUAUUAGUCACUGGAUAAGAUAUAACAUCAAACAUGAAUUCUGUAUUGUGCUCUCCUUAGUAUAAUCUCAAAUAUACUGAUGCCCUUCAGCACUAUGGAAGAGCAAAAAACGCGGAUAACUCUAUCUUGAAGUCCUCAGAUAUGGGUGGUCUCUUGAAAGUUGUGUCAUUUUUAGAGAA